AUUCUACUCUAGCACUAAAGCUAGAAGGGAAGCUUGAGGCCACAUUGUGGAGUGCCAAGAGGUUUGAACUUUUGCCUGGUUUGAACUUUUACCUUCUUAAUCUUUUCCCCGCAUCCCCACAUUUGAGGACAGGACACCUCCAGGAACUGCAGCUCAGCAACAGGGGUUCAGCGUGAGCGCGGCCUGGGGAGGGUCAUCGCCUUUUUGGGGAGUGUGGGGAGAAACGCGGCUCGCCUUGUCGUGGCUGGCGAUACGCCUCUGCAGGAAGGGUGUGUCUCCCCGCUUGAGGAUUCUCCCUAUAGAUAAAGAGGAGACUCAGCAGAGCCUUAAUUAGAGAUCACAGAGGACUGACAACGAGCGUCCGGAAGACGAAUUGGCAGCGAGGUGCAUGGAUUCGAUACAGAAGCUGGAGAUAGAGUCCAGCUAACAGACCACUGCAGUUCGACGGAGCCAGAUCCCAGGUCUGAAAUGGAAAGAGAUGUUACCCUAGAUGCCCGGAGACAGCGGGGCCGCAGAGACCUCGCACAGCCGAAUAGCAGUGGAGCAGGGAAGGAAGAGCUGAAGGACCCUGGGGAUGAUUGAACAUAGCCUCUCACCAGCGCGCUCAGGAAUUGUCCUGAGAGCAGCAGGAGGAGUGGUAAUCCUGCAAGAGAAGGUGGCUUUGUUGAGAGCCUUUAAAUUCAGCUUUAUUACUCGCCAGUCUCCUUCCUUGUGUUCUGGCCAUAUUUCUUAUCCAUUAGGCAGCCAGCCCUUCACAUGAGAUCCUCCUGGUUUUGCAUUCUUUUCUGCAAUGCUGACACUUCCUUCUAGUUACACCCUUUGGCACUCUAAUCUGUGGUCUUAGUUUUAGUCACUGAUGAAGAUAUUUGGCACAUUAACUCUUAUUUCAGUUAACACCAGAUGAAGUGAACUCAAUUCCUCUUCUCACACAAAAGUUGGCCCCAAACUAGUUCAAAAAUAUAUUUGAAUUCUUUCUUGGCUAGUGUCGGUUAUUUGUGUCCCUUUAGUGAUCUGAUUAAUAUUUGCUUUUGUGAUGGUUGUCACAUCAAGAUAGCUGCAAGCAUUGUUAAAGAGACAUUUGAUAAGAGGGACUACUUACCUGGAAUUCACCCCCAGACCACCGAAAUCUUAACUACUGAUGACAGUUUUGUGUAUCCUUUAAGGAGCUCUUGAACUCUGAAUUCUAUAGAGAAAAUAAAAAGAUUUGUUGAAAAUGACUGACCCCAUGUGGGUUGAGAACUAUAUCCAGUUAACUAAACUGUAAACAGCUAACUGAAUCUGUUAACAGUUAAGUAUGUUAUCUAUAAAAUAAGCUUCAAGUAGCACUGUGUUGUAACUUCUUGGUGCCUCCAAAUUAAGAGUUAAACCCUUAGAUCUGGCUAAGGAAAUGACUUUAUCCUAGCCCAAAGGAGACCUUUUCCUCAACUCUUCCUCCAUUAUUUUUAUUCUCUAUUGUUUACUCAUCGUCUCAUAUGUCCCCUGUCAUGUUACAUUGGAAUCAUUUCUUUUAGAUGCAAACUGCAGCUGAUGUGUUCAUUGGGUCUAUUGCAGCCCCCACCAAGUGUUCACUUCUGGUGAGAGGCAUAUCCAGGGCCUGAGUGCUGGAACCCAAAGAUGACAAGGGUGGAGCAUUGAUGAGUUAACCUCGCAGCUGGAGGGUCUGUGCUGCAUAGUCUCCCCUUGGGCCAUGAGAGCACAUGCUUGAGAAUUACAUAAGCCUGUAGCAGGGCAGGGCUCAGGGCUACGGAAUUGAUAACACCAGUGGGACUAAGGCAUCCACCAUCUGUUCUUUGUUAUGUUCAUGCCCAUCACCAAAGUAAAAAUCACAGUCAUCCUUCUCUCCACCAUUUCUGUCUCAAUCAAUCACUUCCUCCUAGGCUGGCCAAAUUAUCUUCUUCAACUUGCCAGAGGAAGAGGGAAUGUCUUUUGGUAAGGCACAGAGGAGCCCUUGGUUUUCCAGUUACACUCCUGCUAAUUGCAGAGAUUUCUCAGUUCGUGGUAAUCAUGGAGGCUUGCAUCUUUAAGCGCUUGCCAUCUGCAAAAACUGGCCCCAGUUGCUAUCCGGAGAUGGCAUCUCCCACUGAAAUCUGCAUGAACUUUGUCCCUGUGGGCUGCAGGGACCUGAGUAGUUUUCAAGUCCCUGGCUUUUGAUAGGAAGCAAAAAGCUUCUAGAUUGAGUACAGCCUGAAAAAGGAAGAGAAAUCGUGAUACUUCCUGUGUUGCAAUAACAAACACCCGUCCUAACUGCUGCUAGACAGGGAACUGGCAGUUUAACCUCUUCCUGCUCACUAGGGAGGUGGGGCAGGGCGAGUGGGAGUGGGGAGCUCCCCUUUCUUGCAGGCUCCAUCCACAGAACACUUCCUACAAACCCCUUCCUGCCUUUGUAAUCCUAGUGUUGCAAAGCUGCCCUGUCUGCUCUGUGCAGAGCCCUCUCUGUGCUCUGCCUCGCCUGUGCCCUCUCUAAUUGCCCUCUUCCUUACAAAAUCCAGCUGCCGGUUGAGGCUUCUCUCCCUGAAUUUACAGCCGUCUAAUCAACUGGUAAUUUACUUUCAAUCAGUGCCGGAUUGUGUUCCUCAGAUUCAUAUCUCCUUUUUCAUUUAGUGAGGAAAUGAUUGCCUUUCCUCUUUACCAUUUGUUUUAAAUAUUAGCUGCCAUGUUGUGCCGAGCAAUGGUCUCUUAAAUACGAAGGUACGAUCUGGCAGUUCAAGACAGCAUUUGUCCAAAGCUGUCUGAACACUUACAGUGUGCUCGAGGCAAGUCCGCAUGCCUAGGACUGGGGUAGCGUCUGUCAUGCUGUCUUAUGCCCCAGUGACUUAAGUUCUUCAGUUGUCAGUGUCAAAUCUUGAUUUCUAGAGGCUCCUUGUUAUUUAAUUCCAGCCAGGAACUGAUUUCCUUGCAGGCUUCUGUGAGGCCAUCCUGAAUGGCUGCAGUGGGGUGAGGAUGGUCUGGGGCUGUGCUAUGAGGCUUUGACCCUGAAGUUUCACCUGUUAAGAUCUGAAAAACUGCAGGCCAAGAACAUUAACAGGUUGUUUUGUGGCUUGUGGGGCAGGUUGAGUAGCACAGAAGAGAAGCUGGGGAGAUGGAGAGAGAGCAGGCAAGGGGAGAGUCAGAGAUGAAAUGAGUGACCAGUGGGUCAGCUGAGGCUCAUCCGCCCAGACCCUGCUCUUAGGCAUAUCUUGAAUGUGUCCCUGGACAUGCUCUUACAUGUGAAUGAUGUUAGUAAGUCUCAUCCUUUCUGCUGAGAAGCACUUUCCUAGUAGGACAGGAUCGGGGCUGAGGAACUUUCGACCCCAGCCCACUUUCUAGCUAUUUGCUCUUAUUAAAAAUCUUCCUGCUGGCCAGGCACAGUGACUCAAGCCUGUAAUCCCAGCACGUUAGGAGGCUGAGGUGGGCAGAUCACUUGAGCCCAGGAGUUUGAGACCAGCCUGGGCAACAUGGCAAAACCAUAUCUCUACAAAAAAUAGAAAAAUUAGCUGGGUGUGGUAGUGCAUGCCUGUGGUCCUAGCUACUCAGGAGGCUGAGGUGGGAGGAUCACCUGAGCCCAGGGGGGUUGAGGCUGCAGUGAGCCGUGAUCGUGCUACUGCGCUCCAGCCUGGGUGACAGUGUGAGACCCUGUCUAAAAAAAAAAAAAAAAAAUCUUCCUCUGAAGAGCCUGAGGAUUCCUCCCUUCUCCCAACUUCCCAUACUUCUUUUAUUUGUUUGGCUCAUUUUCAAGAGCAUUCUAGAAUUUCUCUAAAGGAGGGCCUUAGUGGUGGCCAUCUAUUUGAAGCGCUAAGGUGGGUAGAACGAUGCUAGAGGACAUGUUUCAAAGUUGCCUGGCAGAGCAGGUAAGCUCCUUUCCUUCACAGGAAACGUAGGAUAAGGGCACAGCUCCUGCAAGCAGCCUGCCUGAGUUCGAGUGCUAGGUGUCUCACUCAGCUUAGUGAUCCCAGACAAGGUUCUUAGCCUCCAUGUAUCUCAGUCUCUCUUUCUAUGGACUUAGGAUAGUAAUAUCAGGAUUCUUGCGAUGAUUAAAUAAAAUAAUGACUGUUAAGUUA
rnacentral:lncRNA from 1 species